UGAGGAAUUUUGCGCAAUGGGCGCAAUCCUGACGCAGCAACGCCGCGUGGGUGAUGAAGGCCUUCGGGUCGUAAAGCCCUGUCAGGUGGGAAGAAUGUCCUGGAAUUGAACAGGUUCCGGGAGUGACGGUACCACCAGAGGAAGCACCGGCUAACUCCGUGCCAGCAGCCGCGGUCAUCCGGAGGGUGCAAGCGUUAUUCGGAAUUACUGGGCGUAAAGCGCGUGUAGGCGGUCCUGCAAGUCUGAUGUGAAAGCCCCGG
rnacentral:rRNA from 1 species